CCUACGGGUGGCAGCAGUGGGGGAUAUUGCACAAUGGGGGAAACCCUGAUGCAGCGACGCCGCGUGUGGGAAGACGGUCCUCUGGAUUGUAAACAACUGUCCCCAGGGACGACGAUGACGGUACCUGGGGAGGAAGCUCCGGCUAACUACGUGCCAGCAGCCGCGGUAAUACGUAGGGAGCAAGCGUUGUUGGGAUUUACUGGGUGUAAGGGGAGCGUAGGCGGGAUGGCAAGUUGGGUGUUAAAUCUACCGGCUCAACUGGUAGUCGCACUCAAAACUGCUAUUCUUGAGUGAAUUAGAGGCAGGCGGAAUUCCUGGUGUAGCGGUGAAAUGCGUAGAUAUUAGGAGGAACACCAGUGGCGAAGGCGGCCUGCUGGGCUUUUACUGACGCUGAGGCGCGAAAGUGUGGGGAGCAAACAGGAUUAGAUACCCCUGUAGUC
rnacentral:rRNA from 1 species